GGCGGCGUGCCUAAUACAUGCAAGUCGAGCGGAUUGAUGGGAGCUUGCUCCCUGAUAUUAGCGGCGGGCGGGUGAGUAACACGUGGGUAACCUGCCUGUAAGAUUGGGAUAACUCCGGGAAACCGGAGCUAAUACCGGAUAACAUGUUGAACCGCAUGGUUCAACAUUGAAAGAUGGCUUUUGCUAUCACUUACAGAUGGACCCGCGGCGCAUUAGCUAGUUGGUGAGGUAAAGGCUCACCAAGGCGACGAUGCGUAGCCGACCUGAGAGGGUGAUCGGCCACACUGGGACUGAGACACGGCCCAGACUCCUACGGGAGGCAGCAGUAGGGAAUCUUCCGCAAUGGACGAAAGUCUGACGGAGCAACGCCGCGUGAACGAUGAAGGCCUUCGGGUCGUAAAGUUCUGUUGUUAGGGAAGAACAAGUACCAGAGUAACUGCUGGUACCUUGACGGUACCUAACCAGAAAGCCACGGCUAACUACGUGCCAGCAGCCGCGGUAAUACGUAGGUGGCAAGCGUUGUCCGGAAUUAUUGGGCGUAAAGCGCGCGCAGGUGGUUUCAUAAGUCUGAUGUGAAAGCCCACGGCUCAACCGUGGAGGGUCAUUGGAAACUGGGGAACUUGAGUGCAGAAGAGGAAAGUGGAAUUCCAAGUGUAGCGGUGAAAUGCUU
rnacentral:rRNA from 1 species